GUCAGUGUGGAUUUCUUAAAACAACUUUAAAAUCGAAAACUUUAAAAUCCAAAGCUUUAAAAUCAAAAUCUUUGAUCUUUAAACCAUGCUCUGAUACCAACUUAAUUCGAUUCAACCCCUCAGGGCAUAAUGGCAUUAAAUGGUACCUAUCAGAGCACUUGGCAAGAGGUGCACUUCACUCCGGGACGCACCGGGAGCAGUCCCUUCCCUCCUCUUCCAAGCUCCUGGGCGGAGAGUCAUACUUCGCUAUAGAUCAUAUGCGACAGUUCCCAAGAAUAGGG
rnacentral:lncRNA from 1 species